rnacentral:rRNA from 1 species
UACGUAGGGUGCAAGGCGUUGUCCGGAAUUAUUUGGGCGUAAAGAGCUCGUAGGCGGUACUGUCAACGUCGGCUAGUCGAAAACCCCGGGGCGUCAACCCCGGGGCCUGCAGUUCGAUACGGGCAGACUAGAGUGCGGUAGGGGGAGACUGGAAUUCCUGGUGUAGCGGUGAAAUGCGCAGAUAUCAGGAGGAACACCGGUGGCGAAGGCGGGUCUCUGGGCCGUAACUGACGCUGAGGAGCGAAAGCGUGGGGAGCGAACAGG